UUUUGAACGCAACGGACGUGAUUGCAACCCCUUGUUGAGAUUAGAGAUAGUCUCGAUAUUCACUGGACAAACUGGCUGCUUUAUGCAGUCUUGUUGAAUGGUGGAUAAACUCGGGGGACUGCUGACUAUAACCAUUUCUCAAAACAGAGGAAGGUUGCGGCAAUAACAGGUCUGUGAUGCCCUCAGAUGUCCCGGGCUGCACACGUGCUACAAUGAGUGGCGCAAUGUGCUAAUGUUUAAGGGAUAAGAGUGUGGUCAGUAGAACGUCGGGAUUUCCCCUGACGUCUCCCCCGCACGAUUAUCAGCCUUCCCUUAACAGGGCGGGCAACCUUUUCAAAAUACUGGUUUGAUGUUAAAGUAUUGAGUCGUUUUUUUUGGAUGGUGGUUUGUUAACCAAUACCAUCCGGCAACUGCUCGCGAGUUUGUGGUUCUGGCGACUCAUGGUGGGGACCGACGUUUGUAAUUUUUUGUCGCGUGUUAACUAGGAAUGCCUUGUACUGUCGAUUCACUAAGUUACUGGGAAUACGUCCCUGCCCUUUGUACACACCGCCCGUCGCUCUUACCGAUG
rnacentral:rRNA from 1 species